rnacentral:tRNA from 1 species
GGCUCUGUGGCGCAAUGGAUAGCGCAUUGGACUUCUAGGCUGUGAGCUGAGCCAUUCAAAGGUUGUGGGUUCGAGCCCCACCAGAGUCG